rnacentral:ncRNA from 1 species
GCUAUUUGAGGUGGACAAUUUCGUGGCAUCCAUACGCCGAUGGUAACGACAGGGGGAACCCGAGAGAUGCAGGAGAACGCCACGCCUGCCAAAUAGC